rnacentral:rRNA from 1 species
CCUACGGGACGCAUCAGUGAGUAAUAUUGUUCACUUGUCUCGCGCCUUAACCAGCCAAGUCGCGUGAGGGAAGACGGUCCUAUGGAUUGUAAACCUCUUUUGUCGGGGAGCAAAAGACGCCACGCGUGGCGUUCCGAGAGUACCCGAAGAAAAAGCAUCGGCUAACUCCGUGCCAGCAGCCGCGGUAAUACGGAGGAUGCGAGCGUUAUCCGGAUUUAUUGGGUUUAAAGGGUGCGCAGGCGGAAGAUCAAGUCAGCGGUAAAAUUGAGAGGCUCAACCUCUUCGAGCCGUUGAAACUGGUUUUU